rnacentral:rRNA from 1 species
GACGAACGCUGGCGGCGUGCUUAACACAUGCAAGUCGAACGGACAGGCGAUGCUCUUGUUGGGUUCUUGAUAGCCGAACGGGUGAGUAAAACGUGAGUAAAAUGCCCCUAACUUUCUGAUAACUUCAGGAAAAAGGGGCUAUUACCGGAUAGGAGCUCUUGAAGCGUGGUGGGGGAUGGAAAGAUUCGGCGGUUGGGGCUGGUAUAGAGGCUUAUCAGCUUGUUAGUGGGGUAGUGGCUUACAAAGGCUUUGACGGGUAGCCGGCCUUAGAGGGUGACCGGCGACAUGAGGACUGAGAUACGGAGCAGACUCCUACGGGAGGCAGCAGUGGGGAGUAUUGCGCAGUGGGCGGAAGCGUGAGGCAGCGACGCCGCGUGCGGAAUGACGGCCUUCGGGUUGUAAACCGCUUUCUACUGUGACGAAGAGUGAGUGACGGUAAUGAGUAAAGAAGCACCGGCUAACUACGUG